UACGUAGGGGGCAAGCGUUGUCCGGAUUUAUUGGGCGUAAAGCGCUCGCAGGUGGCCCGAUGCGUCGUGCGUGAAAGCCCCCGGCUCAACUGAGGAAGUGCAUCCGAAACUGGCGGGCUUGAGUACUAAAGAGGGUCGCGGAAUUCCCGGUGUAGAGGUGAAAUUCGUAGAUAUCGGGAGGAACACCGGUGGCGAAGGCGGCGACCUGGGUAGAUACUGACGCUGAGGUGCGAAAGCGUGGGGAGCAAACAGG
rnacentral:rRNA from 1 species